CCUACGGGUGUGCAGCAGUGGGGAAGAUUGGGCAAUGGGAGCAAGCCUGACCCAGCAACGCCGUGUGAAGGAAGAAGGCUUGCGGGUUGUAAACUUCUUUUGUCAGGGACGAAGCAAGUGACGGUACCUGACGAAUAAGCCACGGCGAACUACGUGCCAGCAGCCGCGGUAAUACGUAGGUGGCAAGCGUUAUCCGGAUUUACUGGGUGUAAAGGGCGUGUAGGCGGGGAAGCAAGUCAGAGGUGAAAACCACGGGCUCAACCUGUGGCCUGCAUUUGAAACUGUUUUUCUUGAGUGCUGGUGACGCAAUCGGACUUCCGUGUGUAGCGGUGACAUGCGUUGAUAUACGGAGGAACACCAGUGGCGAAGGCGGAUUGCUGGACAGUAACUGCCGCUGAGGCGCGACCGCGUGGGGAGUAAACAGGAUUAGAUACCCGGGUAGUC
rnacentral:rRNA from 1 species